CGUAACAAGGUUUCCGUAGGUGAACCUGCGGAAGGAUCAUUAUCGAAAUAAAUCUGAACAGGCUGUUGCUGGUCGGAAGACAUGUGCACGCUUGUCCUCUUUAUUUUUCCAACUGUGCACAUAUUGUAGACCUUUUUGAGGGAAUGAUGGCCAAGGUCUAUGUUACAUUUAACAACAUGUUGUAGAAUGGGGGAUAUGAAACAAAUAUACAACUUUCAGCAACGGAUCUCUUGGCUCUCGCAUCGAUGAAGAACGCAGCGAAAUGCGAUAAGUAAUGUGAAUUGCAGAAUUCAGUGAAUCAUCGAAUCUUUGAACGCAUCUUGCGCUCCUUGGUAUUCCGAGGAGCAUGCCUGUUUGAGUGUCAUCAAGUUCUCAACCAUACCUCGGUGUGGCUUGGAUUUGGGGGUUUUUGCAGGCUUCAAAGAAAGUCGGCUCCCCUGAAAAGCAUUAGCGGUGUCUGAGUACCUUUGGUGUGAUAACUAUCUAUGCCUUGGUGUAUACGAUGCAUGCUGCUUCUGAACUUCAUUUUUAUUGACAAAUUUGACCUCAAAUCAGGUAGGAUUACCCGCUGAACUUAAGCAUAUCAAUAAGCGGAGG
rnacentral:rRNA from 1 species